AUAUCUUAGAAAUUUUAUAAUAUAAAUCUUAUUCUAAGCUAAGAAAUGGAGAGAGAUGAUAAACUGUGUGAUAUUUAGAGUUAUUUACUCAAGUUCCUGUUGCUUGUGAAAAUAGGUAAAAUUUAUAUGAAGUAAAAUUCAUCUUCCCAAGUCAAGGGUUUUUGAUCUGCUCUGCUCCACAUAAAGAUGAAUAAAAUUAAGAAACACUUGAUACUUUACAAUUUAUUAAGUAUGUUGAUUUUUCCCACAAUGACAUGUCUCUAAUAUUCCAAAUUUUGAUAUUCCCUGCCCCAGUACAAAAAUGUGGUGUAAGAGCCUGGAGAUCAUGUUUAUAUAUAUUGAAAAUGCAUUAAAUGUUAAAACAUCUCCACCACAGCUGAACACAGAUUAUGGUGUCCUGUUCCAAAAUUGUGAAUUUAACGGUGUAUAUCAUGAGAGUUUCGGUCUCCAGAACGAGGUUAUAAGGAUUAUAUAAAGCUAGUGAAAAUACAGACAUUGGAAUCUGUUAAGCUGUGUUUACUCUUUAAUAUGAAGCUCAAGAACUGGAUGUGUAGUGAAAAUCAGCAUGGACGCCUCUUCCAUUAUUGUGAAACUCGUGGCCCCAGGAUCAGAAAUUCAUUUCCCUAGGAAAGAAAAUACAGGGGGUGAUGACUGUACCGAAUCAUUGACUGAAAUUCCAUCAUUUACAGACAGAUUGUGUAUUAUCACAGACAGGAGAGUAUGCCCCCCGCAGCAUACACAGACAGGAGAGUAUGCCCCCCGCAGCAUAUACAGACAGGAGAGUGCCCCUGCAGCAUACACAGACAGGAGAGUAUGCCCCCGUAGCAUACACAGAGAAGUCCAAUCAUUUUUAUGGUUGUAAAUUUUUUAAUUUAAUCGUGUUACUUAUGUCUCCCCUAUUCCAGGGAGAGACAUAUAUAAUUAUAUAUAUUGUGUUUGUACUGUCUGUCCAUCUGUCUGUCACAAAAUCCAAAAUCUUGUGAAUGCUUUUUCUCCUGUAUGGGUUAUCUGAUAAACUUGAAACUUUGUACAAUGCUUCGUUGCCAUUUGUAGAUGUGCAUAUUGGUAGGAUGUGGGGAUCCAAAUAUUUUCAAUGAAGUUAAGGCCAAUUAAAAUUAAUUGAUAGAUUAUCAUCCCGGCCUGCCCCUCAAAAAAGGGCCCGCUCCGGUUUUUUUCAUUUUAGCAAAAAUUACGAUUUCCAACAAACUUGCUUCCCAGUGACAUGAGUGAAUGAUUAAAGUCACAGGAUGUUGGUUUUAUAUCUUUUACUAAGGAUUUUUUGAAUGUUAACUUGAUUAACACUUUGUGUGAUGCCUUUUGUCAUUAAUUUUUUUUCCGGGGAAAUAAAAAUAAAAAAAUAAAAAUCCUCCCUCCUGCCCCAUAUUUUUUGUGACCCCGGAUGAUAAUCUACUAAUUAAGUUGAAUUGGCCUAAAAGUGGAUCUAAGAGGGUUGGAGGAUGUAAAAUACAUUGUGAUCACUUCUUUUCCUUUAUGGCUUAUUGGAUAGCCUUGAAACUUUGUACAAUGCUUCAAUUCAUAUUGUCAGGAAAGGAGAAUACAUCACAACAGUCAUUAUUUUUGUAUAGUAUACAACAAUGACAUUGGUCACAUCAAUGUUCGAAUCUUUUCUCCAUCUUUUUCUUAAAGUACAGUUCAUAAAUGUUGAUAUUCCUGCUCUGACUUGCUUUCUCCUUCAUACCAUGCAGUACAUUGAAGGGAGGGGAGUAAUUUGGAGCACUUUCAAUUUGGGGAGCUGGGGGAGACAUUUGUGUUUUUAACAAAAACUAAUUAUGUUUGAUAUAUACUACAGAUGUAUAAUGAUAUGAAAGUUUAAAUUGAUUAGACAUCUUGGCAAUUUUGAAACUAGCACAAAAAGCGGCCAAAAUUGAGGACCAGUUUGCAUUUCUAACUUCAUGGUCAGAAUUCAUGUUACAAUUGUAAUGUCAUUGUCGUUGUUUUGCAGGGUGAUGAUGAUGUAUCUGGUCAAAUCAUUGACAGAAAUUCCACUACAAAUCCUUUAUUAUCACAGACAGGGAUAUGCUCCCAAACAGCACAAUACCUCACUAAUUCAGGACUUACAAUAGUAUUUUUCGAGGUCAAACUAGUGAAAAUGUUUUGUAAAAGUCACAACGCAAUUGAACUUUUGUUGAAUGCACUGUAAUUCUUUUGACAUUUGAGAUUUUCUGAUCAAUUUUUGUUGACGGUCUGUUAUCUGUUUCACAUUUUUCAACUCCUCCCCAACCACUAGGCCAAGUUUUAAGUCAACAAAUUUCUUUAGAGGAGAUUCAUUUUUUUUUUUGUGUUUUAGCUCACCUGAGCUGAAAGCUAAGUGAACUUUUCUGAUCAUCGAUUGUCCGUUCAUCUUUCCAUCUGUCUGUCCAUCUAUAAAAUUUUAUAUUUUUGACUUCUUCUCCAGAACCUUGGGUAAAGGGCUUUCAAGUUUGUUCAAACGAAGGGCCAUGCCCCUUUCAAAGGGGAGAUAAUAAAAAAAAUAGGGUGGGGUCUUUCAUUUUAAAAUCUUCUUAAGAACCGUUUGGCCAGAAGAGCUGAAAUUUACAUGAAAGCUGUCUGACAUAGUGUAAUUUCAAGUUUGUUCAAAUCAUGAUCCCGGGGGUAGGAUGGGGCCAUAGUAGGGGAUUAAAGUUGUACAUACAAAUGUAUAGAGAAAAUCUUUAAAAGUCUUCUUCUGAAGAACCAUUAGGCCAGAGAAGUUUACAUUUACAUGAAAGCUUCCUGAUAGAUUGCAGAUUCAAGUUUGUAAAAAUCAUGACCCCCAGGGGUAGGUUGGGCCACAGUAGGGAUCAAAGUUUUACAUGGAAAUGUAUAGGGAAAUUUAAAUAUGGGCCAAGAUGACUCAGGUGAGCGAUGUGGCCCAUGAACCUCUUUUUUUUCAUUUGUUGAUUUGCAGGGUGAUGAUGGAGUGUCUGACCAAACUCUUGACUGAAAUUCCACCAGUUGUACAAAGCCUGUAAAAUCACAGACAGGGACAUAUUCCCCCCGCACAACACAAUUCCUCAUUAAUCCAGGAGUUUAGAUCUGAGAGAUUCUGGUCAAGCUGGAUUGGAUGUACAUUUCUUCCUAGAUUUCAGGACCCACACUAAGGCUAGUCUGCAGGCCCUGACCAUUCAAUCAAAUUCACUGAUGGGCAGUGUAGGUCAGAUAAGUGAUGGACUGUGUUGUGAUGUUAUUGAUGGUAAACAGAACACUGUGACCUUGAAUCUGAAGAUCUCUGAUAAAGAGCAGGUGUACUACAAAUCUAACAGUGUAACGCUCAGCCACAAAGAGGUUGUCUCUGAUGUCCACACAUAAACCGUAUGGACCGCGUAAAUCACAGUGAAUGUAACGGAGGAACUGUCCGUCCUGAUCCAGGAUGUGGAUACGGUGAUUGCCCCAGUCUGCUGUCAGGAUGUGACUCUGGCUGUCUGUAGUGAUGCCGACUGGUUUAAAUGAUUGCUCGGUAUUAGAGGGAUGACCAGUGUAUCUAAAUCGGAGUUUUCCUGACUGAUUGACCACCACUACUGCUUUAGCUGACGUGUCAGCCACACAGAUAUCCAGGUUCCUGUUCUCACUAAUGUAUUUAUCAUAAUAAUCAGAGGAAUAGAGAGGACGACCCUGAUCAUCAAACUGAAUGCUUUGUGUCUCUGUGGAGCCAGAGUAACGCACAACUUUGUAUUGUGUAUGAUCAUCACUGAUCAUGGUAACCAGGAGAUCAUCAGAGGCGGUACUGCAGACAAAGAGAGGUCUCCACCCCUGUAGUGUGAUCAGGGUGUUUAUCUAACAUCAUGUCAACUUUGAGCUGCAAACUACUCAUACGAGUAGUUUUGAAGGGAUCAUAAUGAAUGGUGAUGCGUUGAUGUCCACUGUGACGUGUUGGAUGAAGGGAACCUGAAACGCAUUGCUGUCUGACGCGUUUCAUACCUAUUGUUAGAGUCUCGUGUGGAUCCGGGUUAGAAUAGGUCUUCAGUACCCCCUGCUUGUCGUAAGAGGCAACUAAAUGGGGCAGUCCUUCGGAUGAGACCGCAAAAACCCAGGUCCCGCGUGUCACAGCAGGUGUGGCACGAAUAAUAUCCCUCCAUGCUGAAAGGCCGUAAGCGCCCAGCAUAGGCCUAAAUUUUGCAGUCCUUCACUGGCAAUGGUGAUGUCUCCAUAUGAGUGAAAAAUUAUAGAAUGGGACGUUAAACAAUACGCUACUACAACCAAUUGUUAGAGCGUUCUUUACGUUGUAUACACAAUGAUUUUGACCACGGACUACUCCGUUUACCUGAUCAAGAAAUAGGACUCACGGCGGUUGUGACCGGUCGACAGUGGCUGUUUACUCAUAGGCACCUGAUCCCGCCUCUGGUGUGUUCAGGGCCCGUGUCUGUCCUUUUAAUUUUGUGUUCCUUAUAGGAAUUGUGAGAUAAAUCACUGUUCGUUAUCUUCACUUUGUUCUGGGAAACAUCGGAUUUUUCCUGCAUGUGGGACAGUAUUAUUUAUAUUGUGCUCUGAAUUUGUCUUUUCGAGAAUAAAUGAAUUGUUAUUGCAUUAUCA